AUUGAACGCUGGCGGCAGGCUUAACACAUGCAAGUCGAACGAGUGGCGGACGGGUGAGUAAUGCUUUGGAAUCUAGCUUAUGGAGGGGGCUAACUACGGGAACCUGUAGCUAAUACCGCUUACCAUACGAUGAGCCCAAGUGGGAUUAGGUAGUUGGUGAGGUAAAGGGUCACCAAGCCGACGAUCGCUAGCUGGUCUGCGAGGCUGACCAGACACACUGGGACUGAGACACGGGCCAGACUCCUACGGGAGGGAGCAGUGGGGAAUAUUGCGCAAUGGGGGCAAACUGAAGCAGCCAUGCCGCGUGAAUGAAGAAGGGCUUCGGGUUGUAAAGUUCUUUCGGUAGGGAGGCGGUAACUACAGAAGAAGCACCGGCUAACUCCGUGCCAGCAGCCGCGGUAAUUC
rnacentral:rRNA from 1 species